CCUACGGGAGGCAGCAGCAAGGAAUUUUCCGCAAUGGGGGCAACCCUGACGGAGCAACGCCGCGUGCGGGAUGACGCGUUUCGGCGUGUAAACCGCUUUUCCUAGGGAAGACGCAAGACGGUACCUGGGGAAGAAGGCCCGGCUAACUACGUGCCAGCAGCCGCGGUAAUACGUAGGGGCCGAGCGUUGUCCGGAGUUAUUGGGCGUAAAGCGCGCGCAGGCGGCUUCGCGCGCCCGCCGUGAAAGCCCCCGGCUUAACCGGGGAGAGUCGGUGGGGACGGCGAGGCUUGAGGGCGGGAGAGGGCGGUGGAAUUCCCGGUGUAGUGGUGAAAUGCGUAGAGAUCGGGAGGAACACCUGUGGCGAAGGCGGCCGCCUGGGCCGACCCUGACGCUGAGGCGCGAAGGCGUGGGGAGCGAACGGGAUUAGAUACCCCGGUAGUCCACGCGGUAAACGAUGCCGACUAGGCGUGGGUGGACUUGACCCCAUCCGUGCCGGAGCUAACGCGGGAAGUCGGCCGCCUGGGGAGUACGGCCGCAAGGCUAAAACUCAAAGGAAUUGACGGGGGCCCGCACAAGCGGCGGAGCGUGCGGUUUAAUUCGACGCAACGCGCAAAACCUUACCAGGGCUUGACAUGCUCCUGCGAGACCGGGAAACCGGGAAGCCUUCGAGGGAGGAGCACAGGUGCUGCAUGGCUGUCGUCAGCUCGCGUCGUGAGAUGUUGGGUUAAGUCCCGCAACGAGCGCAACCCCCGUGGCUAGUUGUGUGAUGUUCUAGCCAGACUGCCGCGAGCACGCGGAGGAGGUGUGGGGAUAAAUGGUCAAGUCAGCAUGGCCCUUACGUCCUGGGCAACACGCACGCUACAAUGGCGGG
rnacentral:rRNA from 1 species